GAGAUCCUGGAACGCUGGCCUGCCUUGAAAAUGGAGUCACAGAGUUUCACAGGAUAACAAACCUCAACCUGAAGAACCACUUCUAUGCGGAGUUGGAUAGACAUGUCCCCCCCGUCUUCAGAGCCUGUUCAGGAAGAAGGCGGCAAGGGAAGGAAAGGAAACUGAACUUCUGGAUCAGCUAUUCACCUCCUAUGACCUCCAGGAGCAAGGUGACGUCCAUGUCCGACGUGCUGCUGUCCUCUGUGCUGUGCCUGCAUAUCUGCAUGAAGAUGACUCCACGUUUCUGAGGCUGUGGCAUGU